rnacentral:rRNA from 1 species
UACGGGGGGGGCAAGCGUUGUUCGGAAUUACUGGGCGUAAAGGGCGCGUAGGCGGCCUUCUAAGUCAGACGUGAAAUCCCUCGGCUCAACCGAGGAACUGCGUCUGAUACUGGAAGGCUUGAAUCCGGGAGAGGGAUGUGGAAUUCCAGGUGUAGCGGUGAAAUGCGUAGAUAUCAGGAAGAACACCCGUGGCUAAGGCGGCUCUCUAGUACGGUACUGACGCUGAGACGCGAAAGCGUGGGGAGCAAACAGG